rnacentral:rRNA from 1 species
GAUGAACGCUGGCGGCGUGCCUAAUACAUGCAAGUCGAGCGAACGGACGAGAAGCUUGCUUCUCUGAUGUUAGCGGCGGACGGGUGAGUAACACGUGGAUAACCUACCUAUAAGACUGGGAUAACUUCGGGAAACCGGAGCUAAUACCGGAUAAUAUUUUGAACCGCAUGGUUCAAAAGUGAAAGACGGUCUUGCUGUCACUUAUCGAUGGAUCCGCGCUGCAUUAGCUAGUUGGUAAGGUAACGGCUUACCAAGGCAACGAUGCAUAGCCGACCUGAGAGGGUGAUCGGCCACACUGGAACUGAGACACGGUCCAGACUCCUACGGGAGGCAGCAGUAGGGAAGCUUCCGCAAUGGGCGAAAGCCUGACGGAGCAACGCCGCGUGAGUGAUGAAGGUCUUCGGAUCGUAAAACUCUGUUAUUAGGGAAGAACAUAUGUGUAAGUAACUGUGCACAUCUUGACGGUACCUAAUCAGAAAGCCACGGCUAACUACGUG